rnacentral:rRNA from 1 species
AUACGUAGGUGGCGAGCGUUGUCCGGAAUUACUGGGUGUAAAGGGCGUGUAGGCGGGUUUGCAAGUCAGAUGUGAAAUUCCAGGGCUCAACCCUGGCGCUGCAUCUGAAACUGCAGAUCUUGAGUGCUGGAGAGGGAAGCGGAAUUCCUAGUGUAGCGGUGAAAUGCGUAGAUAUUAGGAGGAACACCAGUGGCGAAGGCGGCUUUCUGGACAGUAACUGACGCUGAGGCGCGAAAGCGUGGGGAGCAAACAGGAUUAGAUACCCUGGUAGUCCACGCUGUAAACGAUGGAUACUAGGUGUAGGAGGUAUCGACCCCUUCUGUGCCGGAGUUAACACAAUAAGUAUCCCACCUGGGGAGUACGGCCGCAAGGUUGAA